ACGAACGCUGGCGGCGUGCCUAAUACAUGCAAGUCGAACGCUUCUUUUUCCAUCGGAGCUUGCUCCACCGGAAAAAGAGGAGUGGCGAACGGGUGAGUAACACGUGGGUAACCUGCCCAUCAGAAGGGGAUAACACUUGGAAACAGGUGCUAAUACCGUAUAACAAUCGAAACCGCAUGGUUUUGAUUUGAAAGGCGCUUUCGGGUGUCGCUGAUGGAUGGACCCGCGGUGCAUUAGCUAGUUGGUGAGGUAACGGCUCACCAAGGCGACGAUGCAUAGCCGACCUGAGAGGGUGAUCGGCCACAUUGGGACUGAGACACGGCCCAAACUCCUACGGGAGGCAGCAGUAGGGAAUCUUCGGCAAUGGACGAAAGUCUGACCGAGCAACGCCGCGUGAGUGAAGAAGGUUUUCGGAUCGUAAAACUCUGUUGUUAGAGAAGAACAAGGAUGAGAGUAACUGUUCAUCCCUUGACGGUAUCUAACCAGAAAGCCACGGCUAACUACGUGCCAGCAGCCGCGGUAAUACGUAGGUGGCAAGCGUUGUCCGGAUUUAUUGGGCGUAAAGCGAGCACAGGCGGUUUCUUAAGUCUGAUGUGAAAGCCCCCGGCUCAACCGGGGAGGGUCAUUGGAAACUGGGAGACUUGAGUGCAGAAGAGGAGAGUGGAAUUCCAUGUGUAGCGGUGAAAUGCGUAGAUAUAUGGAGGAACACCAGUGGCGAAGGCGGCUCUCUGGUCUGUAACUGACGCUGAGGCUCGAAAGCGUGGGGAGCAAACAGGAUUAGAUACCCUGGUAGUCCACGCCGUAAACGAUGAGUGCUAAGUGUUGGAGGGUUUCCGCCCUUCAGUGCUGCAGCUAACGCAUUAAGCACUCCGCCUGGGGAGUACGACCGCAAGGUUGAAACUCAAAGGAAUUGACGGGGGCCCGCACAAGCGGUGGAGCAUGUGGUUUAAUUCGAAGCAACGCGAAGAACCUUACCAGGUCUUGACAUCCUUUGACCACUCUAGAGAUAGAGCUUCCCCUUCGGGGGCAAAGUGACAGGUGGUGCAUGGUUGUCGUCAGCUCGUGUCGUGAGAUGUUGGGUUAAGUCCCGCAACGAGCGCAACCCUUAUUGUUAGUUGCCAUCAUUUAGUUGGGCACUCUAGCAAGACUGCCGGUGACAAACCGGAGGAAGGUGGGGAUGACGUCAAAUCAUCAUGCCCCUUAUGACCUGGGCUACACACGUGCUACAAUGGGAAGUACAACGAGUCGCAAAGUCGCGAGGCUAAGCUAAUCUCUUAAAGCUUCUCUCAGUUCGGAUUGUAGGCUGCAACUCGCCUACAUGAAGCCGGAAUCGCUAGUAAUCGCGGAUCAGCACGCCGCGGUGAAUACGUUCCCGGGCCUUGUACACACCGCCCGUCACACCACGAGAGUUUGUAACACCCGAAGUCGGUGAGGUAACCUUUUGGAGCCAGCCGCCUAAGGUGGGAUAGAUGAUUGGGGUG
rnacentral:rRNA from 1 species